CUCGUCGUCAGGAUGAACGCUAGCGGCAGGCUAACACAUGCAAGUCGAGGGGCAGCGGGUCCAGCAAUGGAUGCCGGCGACCGGCGAAAGGGUGAGUAACGCGUGAGCAACAUGCCCGACACUGGGGGAUAGUCGAUGGAAACGUCGCGUAAUACCCCGUAACACAGGAGGCCGCAUGACUUCCUGUUGAAAGAUUCAUUGGUGUCGGAUUGGCUCGCGUGCCAUUAGGUAGACGGCGGGGUAACGGCCCACCGUGCCGACGAUGGCUAGGGGUUCUGAGAGGAAGGUCCCCCACAUUGGAACUGAGACACGGUCCAGACUCCUACGGGAGGCAGCAGUGAGGAAUAUUGGACAAUGGCCGGAAGGCUGAUCCAGCCAUGCCGCGUGCCGGGAUGAAUGCCCUAUGGGUUGUAAACCGCUUUUGCCGGGGAGCAAUAAGGUCCACGUGUGGACCGACGAGAGUACCCGGCGAAUAAGCAUCGGCUAACUCCGUGCCAGCAGCGGC
rnacentral:rRNA from 1 species